rnacentral:tRNA from 1 species
GCAGAUAUGGCGGAAUUGGCAGACGCGCUGGACUUAGAAUCCAGUGGAUUACCGUGCAGGUUCAACUCCUGUUAUCUGCACCA